rnacentral:sRNA from 1 species
GCUUCCGGUUCGAGCUCCCGGAACCGCCGCCUCUAGGGAUGGACGGUCAGACUCUGCGAAACGCCAUGAGAAGCCGGUCCUGCUCACGAGAGAAAAAGGAGGUAAAUGUGUCCCUGGAGAGGGCUGAUGGGAGGCAACUCUAUUUGAAAGGACCUGAGGGAGCAGGGUGGUGAAUAAGUGUCCCUAAAUCUACUCUUUCCUCUUGGGGUCCCAAGCUUGAAUCCUGGAGCAAAUGAUAGUGAGCAACUAGACUUACCAACCCAGUGUCACUUGUAAUAAUCAUCACUUGUAAUAAUCAUCUCUAACUGAGUGUAUCAGUUAGCUUUGUCUGUGUAACAAAUCAUCCCAGAUUUUAGUGGCUUAAAACAACAACCAUAUAUUUAGUUCUGGAUUUGGUGGGUUAGCAGUUUGGGCUUAUCUGGGCAGUUCUGCUG